CCCUUAGAUGUUCUGGGCUGCACGCGCGCUACACUGAACAGUUCAACAAGUCUUAACCUUGGCCGAUAGGUCUGGGUAAUCUUUGAACGCUGUUCGUGACUGGGAUAGACCUUUGCAAUUAUGGGUCUUCAACGAGGAAUUCCUAGUAAACGCAAGUCAUCAGCUUGCAUUGAUUACGUCCCUGCCCUUUGUACACACCGCCCGUCGCACCUACCGAUUGAAUGGUCCGGUGAAAUCUCGGGACGGCGGCUUGGUCGCUUGCGUCCGACUGCUGAAACUUGAUUAAACCAUAUCAUUUAGAGGAAGGUGAAGUCGUAACA
rnacentral:rRNA from 1 species